rnacentral:rRNA from 1 species
GUAGGGAAUAUUGCGCAAUGGACGAAAGUCUGACGCAGCGACGCCGCGUGAGUGAUGAAGGCCUUAUGGUCGUAAAGCUCUGUUGAAUGGGAAGAAAAAAAUGACGGUACCAUUCGAGGAAGGACCGGCUAACUUCGUGCCAGCAGCCGCGGUAAUACGAGGGGUCCUAGCGUUGUUCGGAAUCAUUGGGCGUAAAGGGUGUGUAGGUGGCCAUGUAAGUCAGGUGUGAAAGCCCCGGGCUCAACCCGGGAAGUGCACUUGAUACUGCGUGGCUUGAGUACCGAAGAGGGUAGUGGAAUUCCAGGUGUAGUGGUGAAAUACGUAGAUAUCUGGAGGAACACCGGUGGCGAAGGCGGCUACCUGGUCGAGUACUGACACUGAGACACGAAAGCAUGGGGAUCAAACAGGAUUAGAAACCCUAGUAGUCC